UACGGAGGGGGCUAGCGUUGUUCGGAAUUACUGGGCGUAAAGCGCGCGUAGGCGGCUUUGUAAGUUAGAGGUGAAAGCCCGGAGCUCAACUCCGGAAUUGCCUUUAAGACUGCAUCGCUAGAAUCAUGGAGAGGUUAGUGGAAUUCCGAGUGUAGAGGUGAAAUUCGUAGAUAUUCGGAAGUACACCAGUGGCGAAGGCGACUAACUGGACAUGUAUUGACGCUGAGGUGCGAAAGCGUGGGGAGCAAACAGG
rnacentral:rRNA from 1 species